rnacentral:rRNA from 1 species
GUUGGGUUAAGUCCCGCACGAGCGCAACCCUUAUCGUUAGUUGCCAGCGGGUCAAGCCGGGCACUCUAGCGAACCGCCCCGGAUAACGGGGAGGAAGGUGGGGAUGACGUCAAGUCCUCAUGGCCUUUAUGUCCAGGGCUACACACGUGCUACAAUGGCCGGUACAAACCGUCGCAAACCCGCGAGGGGGAGCUAAUCGGAAAAAGCCGGCCUCAGUUCGGAUUGGAGUCUGCAACCCGACUCCAUGAAGCUGGAAUCGCUAGUAAUCGCAGAUCAGCACGCUGCGGUGAAUACGUUCCCGGGCCUUGUACACACCGCCCGUCACAUCACGAAAGUGGGCUGCACUAGAAGCCGGUUCGCUAACCCGCAAGGGGGGCAGCCGUCCAAGGUAUGGCUCAUGAUUGGGGUGAAGUCGUAACAAGGUAGC